AUUGAACGCUAGCGGGAUGCUUUACACAUGCAAGUCGAACGAGUGGCGGACGGGUGAGUAAUAUAUCGGAACGUGCCCAGUAGCGGGGGAUAACUACUCGAAAGAGUGGCUAAUACCGCCUACAUUUGGAGCGGCCGAUGUCGGAUUAGCUGGUGGGUGGGGUAAAGGCUCACCAAGGCAACGAUCCGUAGCUGGUUUGAGAGGAGGACCAGCCACACUGGAACUGAGACACGGCCCAGACUCCUACGGGAGGCAGCAGUGGGGAAUUUUGGACAAUGGGGGAAACCCUGAUCCAGCCAUGCCGCGUGUAUGAGAAGGCCCUAGGGUUGUAAAGUACUUUCAGUCGGGAGGCGUUACCGACAGAAGAAGCACCGGCUAACUCCGUGCCAGCAGCCGCGGUAAUAC
rnacentral:rRNA from 1 species